CUUCAUUUCUCCUUUUUUUUUUUUUUUUCAAUAACGAUAUUGUUCAAGUCAGCUUACAAGUACAGUAAAUUAAAUUAUUGGUACUUAUUACUUUCUAUCAGUCAAUAAUUGGCAAUUCAUCAAAACUUAGGUAGAUCGGAACGUGAAGUCAGAAAUUUACAUAACGGGAUUCAAAAGUAGUCAUCUUUGCCCUCCUUGUUACUUUACUAGAAUUUUUCUUAUAUCAGAAAAAUUCAACAGCUUAUAUUUACUUUAUUUUACAUAGUAUAAUCUUUCAUCGAAGAAGAUUCAAUUGUAUCUCUUUUCUUCAACAUAGGUCUGCCGUAGGAAGAGGAACUCCUAGAUGCUUUCCUUAUGAAAUAUUUAAUGAAAUUUUUAGAUCAACUAAAGCAACAAGAAAAUAUUAGUAUUGUUUAUAACAGUAAGAAUUUGUUAAUAUUUCAGCGAGAGAGUACUUGCGUUGUGAUAGGAAAUGCCAGAUUAGGUGCGGACCAGAUCGCAAAAUUGAUGAAAACCUGGGUUGAAAGUGCUAAAAGUACUGGCAAGCUAUCGAGGCUACUGUUGUAGAGCGUUGCACAAUAAUAAUUGUAUCUUUGAUAAUAGUUUCUUCAUAGUUUGGGAAAAUAAAACGUUACCUUUACGUGUAUGUUUAAUUGCUACUAUAACAUUUUACUGUAUUAGAUGCAUUGUAUGAUAGUAAAACUAUGUAUUUGAAAUUAUAAUUACCAGUUCAA